GAUCACAAUGGGGAGUGGAUCUUCGGUUUUAAUAGAUAUUUAGGAAUGUGCACGGUUGUUGAUGCCGAACUCUGGGGUAUCCUAGAUGGUUUGAAGCUUACUCUGUAAUGGGGCUAUGAUAGUGUUCUAAUACGGAUGAAUAGUCUUGAAAUGGUUCAUGAAAUUAAAGGCAUAUAGUUGUAAGAUUCUAAUUCGGCUCUUUUCAGGAGAAUUCUCCAGCUAUUGGACUCAGUAAGACACUGGAAAAUUUAACAUAUCCCUCACAAGGAGAAUAAAAUGGCAGAUGGACUUGUCAAGAUAGUUCGUGAUAGAAGAUUAGGUCCUAGACUGUUUGAAGAUUCUCUCUUAGAGAAAUUAGCUUAAGUAGUUUUGUGUAAUCAGUUUCUUUUCACCAAUUUUUUUUUCUACUUUUCAAUCUUAAGCAGGUGUUAAAUAACAAUGAUGGUAAAUUUUUUAUACAAAUUUA
rnacentral:lncRNA from 1 species